UGAGGGCACGGGGCAAAGUGUCAAAGCCAAACCUCCUUCAUCCCCGCUGCGCCCACCCCCCAGGACACCACAUUCCUCGCUGAACACAGCUCCACCUGCAGGGCUGCUCAGGAUUCCCUUUCCUCAGACAGGGAUGGGGAGAGAGGAAGGGGCCCACAUCUGUCCUCGCUGGGGACGUUUCUCAGACAGGGUCAAAACACAAAGGAAUCGGAAGCUCUUUUAGUCGACCAAGACAUCAUCACCAGCCUUACAAAAACGCUCCCAUCUUGAAUGCACAGGGGGAAGGCCCACGGGCAGAUGGCAAUGGCCAGGAAAGCUUCCUCAUUAGCUUGGGGCCCGGUCAGACUUCCUGACAAUCGGCUACAGGGCCAGGCUAGAGAGUGCCCUUCUCUCGCCUGGCCUCCGCUCUCUCGGGAACUUGCCGGUUCCUGACUGGGGGAGCUGGGGCCUGGCAAACUGGGUUCCGCGGGCUCCAAGGACACACCCACAUGCCACAGGAAAGGAAGACUGGGAAGAAUCAGCACUUUGGGGAUGGGGACUCUGUUGCAAUGGUCAGAUGUCAGUACGUAGAAAUCCUGGGUCUUUGCUUUUCCUGACCCUGCAUGACUCAGGAACAACUAGAAACCUCUAGGCUACUUGCGCUGGCAUUGAAUGCAACCCUGCCACACAGUGUUCUUCUGCAGAAAUACAAUCUCCUAGAAGAGGUGAGAGAGAGGUGGGAGCGGCCAAGAAACGGUCUUGGCAAUGCCCACGACCCAGUCGCUGCUUGGGAGCAACUUGCCUGUCAGUACAACGGAGCGUGUAUCUUAGUGUUUACCCUCUUCCGGGUUGAAGAGGUCACCCUGAUUCCAUUCCCUGUAGCUCAAGGUCAGAGUCAACGUUUCUCUCUCCGUUCCUGCUCCCGGCCCUGACCGCUCUUGAUGCAGCGGCACCUUGCUCAGUCCAUACCCACGGAACCCAACGGCGCCAUACACUCCCGUGCACGCCCACCCCAAGCUAAACUCCCUGACCUCUUCCUGCCGAGCCCCACCAGUGGACUGACCGUUCUGUGGCUCUCUCCCUAGCUUGGCUGGAUGGACAGACGGGUGAACGUUCGACAGGAACGACAGAGGAAGACGCCCCAUUUUUCACUAAGGUGGUGUCCCUGCUGGAAGGGGACGGCGAUCCCCUGGCUAGCCUGUACGAUGGCCUUGACGUGGACAGCACAGCGGGAGAGGCCCCAUUUUUCACCAAGGUGGUAAGUUAGCCUUUCCUCAGGUGAAGUACAGCAUCCCUUGCUUCUCUUAUACUCGCAAUCAGAUCCGAACACCUCAGCACGUACAAUGUCCUUGGUGGGGAGAUUAUUGAGGGAGCGUCUCUUAGCCACGGAGACCCCAUUCCAAAGACCCUGCAGGAAACAGCAGGUUCGGGUCCAGUCCACAGGGUCGUGAGCUUGUUCACGGGUGCUCCUGACACCGCCUUGCCACCCAGUGGACCCAGGCCAUGCAACCUCUAGGUGGAUUCCA